rnacentral:misc_RNA from 1 species
GGGAUAUUUAGAUGAAAUCCCUGAGGAAGUGGCCCAGAAGAUUUAAAUUAUUUUCAUCAUAUGUCAUAUUUGUACAAUUUUGGUUGGAAUGUUUUAAAGAUCAAGUAAUAUCCAUGAAUCUUUGAGGGAAAAAAAUGUCUAAAUUUUAUUAGUGAGGAGCUUAUUUAGAAUGGCAUUAAUAUUUUUCUAUCUUAUGCUUUUAUUUUUUAACCAUAAGCUGUGGACGCAAUGAUGUUGAUUUGGCUAUAGUAGUACA